CAGAUGUGAAGCAGCUUCUUGAUCUUGUGAAGAGUCCAGACUAUGAACUAGAGACUCUGAGGUGUGAAGGGUCAUGGUGAUAAACAGGAGGGUGUGUGGUGUGAGAGGAUGAGCUGCGUCCUGAUGAUCCAGAGGUUGAAGCAGCAGCAGCUUGUGAGGACAGAGACUCUGACUGCAGAUAAUUGCUGAAGUCAGAAACUCAACCGCAAUAAUAACUCUCAACUGUUAGUGAGAAACAUGUCAGAUGGAAUCAGCCUCCAAUCAUCAUGUGAUGACUCUUCUGAAAGAGAAGUUCAUCUUUACAGACUCAUGUUGGACGUGUUCUGUUCAGAUUCAGAGAACUCUAUCCCAACAGGAUGAUUCAUUUGCAGCUUUUCCACGAGCAUCCCGAACACAUACAAUUAAUCAACUAAACAAACAAGUAUAAUAAUCAAUUAUAAAAUCUGUGCUCAUUAAGAUAAAAAUAAAAUCAAUAGCACAAAUUCCAGUAGCUAAAACCUUACUAGUUUCUGUCUGUGUUUUAAAGCUUUAUAUAAGAAGGAAUAACAGACUUCAUGUAAUGAUUUGUCCUACUGAUGAUCACAUUAUAGAUGAUUGAAAGGCAGCAAUAAAAACUCGGCCACCAAAGUGUGCUCUGUUUAGUUGAUAAUUGAUUUUAUUCAAUCUGAUGGAUUGAUGAUUGAUUUUGUUGUCAGAUCGUACCCAAAUUCUUCUGCUUAGUCACAGUAAUUUUUUAACAUACCAAAACAGUUGUGUUGAAGUUGCAGGGGAAAGAAGUUAUUAAACAAUUAAGUGUAAUAACUGCAUUCCUCAAAAGGGGGCACCACCCACAGGUUUAGAAUACACUGUGAGAAUAAAUCAAUUAAUAUUGGAUCAAUGUUAAUAAUUAGUAAUUAAUUAAUCUCAUCAUAUCUGAGGUGUCAGCUCUCAGUACAGGGAUCGUCUUUUUCUAGCUCACAAAGACCUUUUGACAACGACUUAAGUGAAAUAUGUGAUUUAUUUACAAUGAUGAAUAGUGAAUAAUAAACAAUAUGAUUAAUAAGAUACACCCAUUGUAUGCACACUCUAUUUUAUAUGAUUUUUUUUUAAGGAAAAGCCAUUAUUUCCUUAAAUAGAGUGUGCAUACAAUUGAUGUAAAAAAAGGUGUGUGCGGUUGGUACUACAUAGGAGAACUAUUAUGCACUGGUUUGGAGUCACUUGGUCACAUGAAUUAGGAGGUAUUGAGAGCAGAUUGAUGGACAGUCAUGCAUAUUCGAACCUCAGCGUCGGUUACAGCUGAGUUUUCCUCAGCGUUGUGUAGACAAAGUGGACGACUGUGAAGUUGCCGUGUAGCAGAGUCUGAUGAUGUGUUGGAAAUUGGUUGUCAAUGAUGGAAUUGAAAAAUACUUAUGAUGGGCUGUUGAAAAUAUCUUCAAAUUAAAUAUUAUUAAUGCGUGAUUGUCUUGAUAGUUAAAAUGAAAUUCAGCUUGUACUUUGAAAAAGUUAAAUUAAAAGUUGCAUUAAAUGUGGCGAGAAUAAUUCAAAAAUAAAACUUAAACACUGCAACUGGCGUAUCAUGAAGACAAAAACGGACUGAGAAGAGAAGUGAACAGGAACUGAGAACUGGACACAAACAAGAACUUAACAAAACUGGACUAAGACUGGUCAGGCGCUAGUUUAUCACCACGUCUCUGCAGGGUGUGUCCCUUUGUUACGAAACUAGGUUUUCGCGCCUUAUGUUGAUUUACAUAUCAUUGCUUUCCUAAAAGAGUAUUGACUAACAGUUGUACUUCACACAACAUGAAAUCAAACACUUUAAAUGAAACAUCAUGUCGGCAUAAAAAGACAUUAUCUUUUCCACAAUAUCCUAAUUCAUAUAAGUAAAUAAUAAUAGUAAGCAACGCUAACUAAUAUCAAGAAGAAGGAAAGGUAAAUUAUAUUCAGGCUAGGCUGACAAGUCUUGCUUUGUAGAAUAUAGACAUAUUAAAACGCUAUAACAGUUUUACCUGUUAAAAUUACAUUCCAAAGAGAGAGAUCUUGCAGUUCUGAACUAUUUACGAUCUUUAUCUACCACAGGUGGUCCAGACGCAACCCUGGGGAAAACCUGAUUUCUGUUUUUAAGGAAGUCUAAAAGCAAUACUAAAAACAUGUCUGGUAGCUCGGUUGUUUCUGUACUAAGGGAGAAAGAUCCAUGGGUUUGAAAUAUGUAUUAAAUCAGGUAUUAACUGGA